CUGCUGCACUGCGCCGGGGGCAGCGAGGGCAGGAAGACCUGGCGGCGCCGGGGUCAGCAGCCGCCUCCUCCCCCGCGGACCGAGGCGGCGCCGGCGGCCGGACAGCCCGUGGAGAGCUUCCCGCUGGACUUCACGGCCGUGGAGGGUAACAUGGACAGCUUUAUGGCGCAAGUCAAGAGCCUGGCGCAGUCCCUGUACCCCUGCUCCGCGCAGCAGCUCAACGAGGACCUGCGCCUGCACCUCCUGCUCAACACCUCGGUGACCUGCAACGACGGCAGCCCCGCCGGCUACUACCUGAAGGAGUCCAGGGGCAGCCGGCGGUGGCUCCUCUUCCUGGAAGGUGCGUCCAGGGCUGAGGCGGGGGGAGGCUCGGGGUCUGUGCGCGCGGGCCUGAGCGGUGGUCGUGUCCGCAGGCGGCUGGUACUGCUUCAACCGCGAGAACUGCGACUCCAGAUACGACACCAUGCGGCGCCUCAUGAGCUCCCGAGACUGGCCGCGCACUCGCACAGGUCAGCGGCGGGCCCUGGGGAAGGCGUCUCGACGUGAGGCCCGGGAGGAAGCCGCGCCCGCGUCCUGGAGCCCCAGCCAGGCCCCCACCCCGCACAUCAUGCCCAGCCCGGCGCCCGGGUUUCCUAAGAGCAAGGGGCGCCCUUCACUCUUGCCUUUUGGGGCCCAUUCCACAUUACCAUUCAGGCGCUUACCCAGCGGCUCUGGCCCUCCCCAGGGUCAAAGCAGGGCAAGGGGUUGAAGUCAAGGUCAGACCUGGUGUCCAGCCUAGGCGGGCACCGUGGCCAUGGUGGCUUCCCGGGGGUAACUAAACCCAACUGUCCUCCACUUUCCCGGCAACCUUGGUUCGGGCUAGCAACACCAGCACACCUCCUUUCCUGGGGCCAAGUAGGAGCCCCAACUCCUCACCAGGGUUCCCAGACCCGACCCUACACAGCCUCCUCCCACUAGAAAGACCCACCGCCUCUGUGUCCCCAGGCACAGGGAUCCUGUCCUCACAGCCGGAGGAGAACCCCUACUGGUGGAACGCAAACAUGGU
rnacentral:sRNA from 1 species